rnacentral:rRNA from 1 species
GAUGAACGCUAGCGACAGGCCUAACACAUGCAAGUCGAGGGCAUCACGGUCUUCGGAUGGUGGCGACCGGCGCACGGGUGAGUAACACGUAUGCAACCUACCUGUAAGAGGGGAAUAACCCGGAGAAAUUCGGACUAACACCGCAUAAUACAUAAUUACCGCAUGGUAUUUAAUGGUUAAAUAUUUAUAGCUUACAGAUGGGCAUGCGUAUGAUUAGCUAGUUGGUGAGGUAACGGCUCACCAAGGCAACGAUCAUUAGGGGUUCUGAGAGGAAGGUCCCCCACACUGGUACUGAGACACGGACCAGACUCCUACGGGAGGCAGCAGUGAGGAAUAUUGGUCAAUGGGCGAGAGCCUGAACCAGCCAAGUCGCGUGAAGGAAGAAGGUUCUAUGGAUUGUAAACUUCUUUUGUAAGGGAAUAAAAGAGUUACGUGUAACUUAUUGUAUGUACUUUACGAAUAAGGAUCGGCUAACUCCGUG